CUCUCUUUGCCUGCUGCCAUCCACGUGACUUUCUCCUCCGUGCCUUCUGUCAUGAUUGUGAGGUCUCCCCAGCCACAUGGAACUGUAAGUCCACUAAACCUCUUCUUUUGUAAAUUGCCCAGUCUCAGGUAUGUCUUUAUCAGCAGCGUGAAAACAGACUCAUACAACUAACAAGCCUGCUUUAGCUUUUCACUGUUCUGCCCAAGCAACUUUCCCCUUCAGCCAGGCCAGUAGAUUUCUCAUACAGCAGGGUGACCCUGUUCAGGGCCUUUGUACUGUUUAUAUUUUUUACUUUGUGCAUACUAUGAUGUCUUGACGUUUUGGAAACCUCUCUGGCUGGGGAGAGACUGUCCUUCCCAGAGCUGGCCAGUUCUUAGAACCAGAAGGGCCCAGCCAGGAGCACAGCUCUGAUAUGCAAACCAACCAACCCAGAGCUAUGCCGUCUUUAUCUAGCCUGUCCACCCCAGGAAGCAGUAUUUCUUCACCUAUAUCAUGCCAGAGCCUGAUAACAAGCAACUAGAAACCAUGCCUGUAGCUUACAGCCUGCCAAAAUUAUUCAAACUAGCCAAUUCUAAACUGUUCACAUGCACUCCCCUGCCCUGUCCCUGAAAGCUCAAGAAAGACCAUGGCCCAGGCUCUCCCCUCACUCCUGCCCCUUCAGGCUCCUACAGGGGGGACCAAGACUGAUGCUUCCCCAUGUGGCCCUGCAGGGCAUGACAUGCUUCCCGUCUCUAAGACCUGUGAGUAUAAUAACCUUGGCCUUCCUGAGCACCUCCUCUGCCUCCUCCUGUGGCCACAUCUCACUGACCAUCACAAAAAACAACAUAGAAUAAGCCAGGCAUGGUGGCUUAUGCCUGUAAUCCCAGCACUUUGGGAGGCCGAGGCAGGCGGAUCACUUGACGUCAGGAGUUCGAGACCAGCCUGGCCAACAUGGUACAACCCUGUCUCUACUAAAAACACAAAAAUUAGCCAGGUGUGGUGGUGGGUGCCUGUAAUCCCAGCUACUCAGGAGGCUGAAGCAGGAUAAUCACUUGAACCCGGGAGGCAGAGGUUGCAGUGAGCCGAGAUUGUGCCACUGCACUCCAGCCUGGGCAACAGAGCAAGACUCCGUCUCAAAAAAUAAAAUAAAACAGGUUUUCAUUUUAAUUUUUAACAUAUAAACCUCCACAGGAACAUUCUGACACAGACUUCAGCCCCAGGCCUACAUCACCCUAUGAUCCAAAUUAUUUUAUAGUAAAUGGUAUGAAGUUUGGAGAGGAAGGGCAAUUUGGCCAUCAUGCUGUGAUUUUACUGCAGGUAAAGUAGAAUCACCAUGAAAGUGGUGGAGCCUUGCUUUUUCUUUAAUUUUUAUAAUGCCACCACCCUACAUUCUUAGGAGAAAAGGCAAGGAGUUAAAUAAAUAAGCACAGAUUUAAGUUCACAUUUCUGGUAAUUAUCCGCAAGCUAAUAACUGAGAUUGCUUAAGCUCUGUAAACAAAACACACAAAGCCCUUGUGGCUCUGCGCCAGAAUCAAAGGUCUGAUCCAAAACUCCCCCAUCCCCUUGUUGGCUUUGAACAUGAAACCAAUUUUCUACACCAAAUCAGGCCUACUUCUUUGUAACCAUCCUUACCAUCUCUCUUAUAGGAAAAUGUUUAGGACUCUUGGCGGUGACUCUAGAACUAGGAAAUCAACUCUCUCAGCAGCACUCUAAUGAGCAAAAACAACUGUGCCUCAAAAUACAGGCUGCAGUGGGCAGAAAUCUCUGUACUGCACUCCAGCCUGGGUGACAGAGUAAGUUUCUGUCUCAAAAAAAAAAAAAAAUCAAGUAACAAAGAACAGCUGUCUAAAACUGUUAACACUGAUUCAAAAUAUAAUAACCUUUAUGCCUGUUAUUCAGAGUUAAAGUGGGUACGCUAAUUAUAAAUCAUACACUUUUCUAAUUGUGCAAUACUCUGUCAAUGGGAUAGAUUUUAGGAAAAUUCCAGCUGAACCAGUCCAUUCUUUGAAUCAUUAGGUCAAUUACAAACAUGCCAAUCCUUAGCCUGAAUAGCUGCAUAUUUAGAAAGACCUAAAACAUUCUUCAAAAAGCUGCCAUACAUGGUCUGUUAAAGGGCUUACUUGGUAGGAAAUAAAUCAAGAGGGAAUACUCCAUAGUGAAUCUCAGGGCACUUUUUAAAACAAAUCUCAGGGCUGAGCACAAUGGUUCAUGCCUAUAAUCUCACUGCUUUGAGGGGCCAAGGCAGGAGGAUUGCUCAAGCCCAGGAGUUUGAGACCAGCCUGGGCAACAUGGCAAGACCUAGUCCCUACAAAAAAAUUGUUUUAUUAGCUAGGCAUGGUGGAACACGCCUGUGGUCCCAGCUAUUCCAGAGGCUGAAGUGGGAGGAUCACUUAAGCCCAGGAAGUCAAGGCUGCAGUGAGCCAUGAUCUCACCACUGCACUCGAGCCUGGGAGACAGUACAGGACCCAUCUCCAAAAAAAAAAAAAAAAAAAGUGAACGAAGCUGCAAUAAGCUGUGAUCAUACCACUGCACACUAGCCUAGGCGACAGAGUGAGACCCUGCCUCAAAAAAAAAAAAAGAAAAAAAGAAAAAACCAAUUGAUAAAAGAGUAACCUCCCAAUCCCCAGCUGUGGAACCCAAGAGCAGAGAAGGCAGCCACCCGCCUCUCUUUCCCUCAAAGACACCAGAGUGCAAUAGGCUCUUCCUCACUCAUUCCCAUGGGAAGUAGCCUUCAACCCCUCUCAAACCACAGCAUAUAGAGAUGCCUUUAUUAAUAAAAAAGGAUACAACCCACGGGCCAGCCGCAGUGGCUCACGCCUGUAAUCCCAACACUUUGGGAAGCCAAGGCAGGCAGAUCACCUGAGGCCAGGAGUCCGAGACCAGCCUGGCCAACAUGGUGAAACUCUGUCUCUACUAAAAGCACAAACAUUAACCGAGUGUGGUGGCACACGCCUGUAGUCCCAGCUACUUAGGAGGCUGAGGCAGGAGAAUCGCUUGAAUCCGGGAGGCAAAAGUUGGAGUUAGCCGAAGUCGCACCACUGCACUCCAGACUGGGCGACAGAGCGAGACUCAGUCUCAAAAAUAAAUAAAUACAAUAAAUAAAUAAACAAAGUAUACAACCCACAACUCACUUUUUUUUCUAACCAGGAAUCUCAACAACAGGACUAUAGGGAAACAAGAAUUAUUAACCUCAUUAAUUCAAAUUAACUCUUAAGCACCCACCACUAACAGGCACUCUUAUAGGUUCUAGACCUAGGAUCAUUUUUACAGAGUUCACAUUGGGGAAGGGAGAGGGGAGAGGGAAAGGCAAUCACACUAAAAAGAGGGGGUCAGAGUAACAGUAAGAUCCACACAGAAGGCCAGGCACAGUGGCUCACACCUAUAAUCCAAGCACUUUGGGAGGCCAAGGAGGGUGGAUCACCUGAGUUCAGGAGUUCGAGACCAGCCUGGCCAACAUGGUGAAACCUUGUCUCUACCAAAAAUACAAAAAUUAGCCGGGCAUGGUGGCGGGCGCCUGUAAUCUCAGUUAUUUGGGAGCCUGAGGCAGGAGGAUCGCCUGAACCCAGGAGGUGGAGGUUGCAGUGAGCUGGGACCAUGCCAUUGCACUCCAGCCUAGGCAACAAGAGUGAGACUUCUCAAAAAAAAAAAAAAAAUCCACAAAGAAAGUAGGGAGCCAUGGUAGUGAAUGGGGGCGUUUACUCUAGAUGGGUGGUCAAGGCAGAGUUUCCCAGGAGGACAAAGCCCCCAGUGACAAGAGCAGGGUCAACAAGUUCCAAGCAAAGAGAACAGCAAGUGCUGAAGCCUAAGGCUAAUGCACUUACAGAAAAAUCCUUAAUGACUAAGUGUGUUGCCUCUGUUUGCGCAGAGAUCACAAAACGUGUCCCGCAGAAGGGAGAGAAAAAGGGACCCCAGGAGAGGGUGGCGGGGCUUCAGGUCCUGGAGAAAGGCAGCAAGCAUGGCUAACACAUUCCUUGGUCCACCCUGCAGGGUAAUACUGCACCUUCAAUUGACUUAUGAAGAAACUAGCUCAGAUUGGAACAACAGCCAGGACAGUCACCACCAAGGGGACUUGCCCCACUGGAGAAGAGACCGGAGUGGGAGAGAAACUGUUACAGCCAAUCACUUCCUUCCAGGAAAAAAAAAGACGCAAAUAACAACACAAAAAAACGUGAUCUAAUAGACAAUCCAGAUAUAAAGAACACAAACCCUUUUCCCUACAAUUUAACCAAAUGCUAAAAUGCACCAGGAAACACAGGAUACUACAGAGAUAAAGAUUUGGCCAGCAGAUUAUCAACCCCAGGAAAAGAAAUCCAUUUCUGUAGCAUGCUAUGCUGUUGGAGGCACACGUCACACUUCUUAAUUCAAGGACAGAAAAGCACAAACUAAAAUGCACACUGGAGUAUGACUCCCCCUUCUCUAUCUGCUAAAGCGCUUCGCAUGUGACUUUCAAUCUCUAAGCUGGGAAUCAAUCAGGCAGCCCAGCCUCCUAUAUUUUCUAGUUGUAUUGCUUUGAGCAUCAAAUUUAACCUCUGUGCACCUCAAUUUCUUCAGCUGGAGACAAAGAAAGUGGCUGCACUGUGGCAGAGUGUUUGCAAAUGUUAAUCAUGGUUAUGGUAGCAUUCUACCUUGUCUUACAGAUGGUUGCCUAAAAAGGUAGGAAACUGUUCACGAAAAAGUCUCAACCGGUCCUAGAGUGAUCAGAAUGACAGCGCUGAAAUAAGGAGGGCAGUACCUCUUAUUCCAGAGAAGUGGGGAGCAGAGAGGAAGAUGGAGUGGAAAGGGGCGAGGCAAGGCCCUCCUGAAAUACCUCAACCCAAAUCUUCAAGAAAUCCCCAAGUCCUCACAGUGCUUUUUGUGGAUUUUUGUGGAAACCGGUAAAAGGGGCUGAUUUGCUGACCCCAGUGGGUAGAAAACAGAGACUGUCAAGAGAACAGAAGAGAAGGCAGAAAGGGGAUGGGGAAGUGGGGUUCGCCAUGUUCACGAGCUCCUGGAGCCACAGGGCCCCCCAGGAACAACAGAGCUGAGACUGGGUGGCCUUGUUUCUGGCCCAAUUCCCUGGGACCACCACCCUGGAAGGACACUUGAGCCCUACUCAAGGACCCACCACAACAUCUCAGCAUUGUCGGUCCUUAAAUGCCAAGGUUUGUGCUCACCAUUUCCAUCCUUAAGAUUCUCACAGGGAAGAACCCACACAACAGCUUUGUCCCUGCGACUCUGGGUGAGUUUCUGACACUGGCCUGGGCUCCCGUUUUGCCCGUCACCAACUUCUCACAGUAUAACUAUCCAAGAGAAGUAGCAUUUGAUGUCAGGGAAUCAAAAGGGCUAAGGCUCGGGAGGCCAAGGCAGGUGAAUCACUUGUAAUCAGGAGUUCGAGACCACCCUGACCAACAUAGUGAAACCCCAUCUCUACUAACAAUACAAAAAAUUAACCAGGUGUGGUGGCAGGUGCCUGUAAUCCCAGCUACUCAGGAGGCUGAGGUAGGAGGAUCACUUGAACCCAGGAGGCAGAGGUUGUGGUACGCCAAGAUCAUGACACUGCACUCCAGCCUGGGUGACAGAGUGAGACUCCAUCUCAAAAAAAAAAAAAAAAAAGGCCUAAGGCUUACUCAGGGUCAUCUAUGGUUUGCCAAGCAGAGUUCAAUCCAAUCAACAAAACCCUCACUGCCCACUUUUCCAAAACCUGAUAUAGUCAGUCACUAGUAGCUGCCAUUUGCUGUUUUGCCUUCUAUUAAAAAAAAAAAAAAAAAAAAAACCAUCCAAUUCCCAGAAGUCAAAGGCAAUUCCUUCCCUUUUCUGUGUCUGUGAGACGGCUCUCUGUGGGAUUCCUUCCUGCUGCACCUCAUCCUUCCUGGAAGGGACUCUCAGAAAAUGUGCCUCCUCCUUACAGGAAAGGAAUUCCUCCCGAGGAACUGUGGACAUGAGGCAGCUUUGUGGAAUUUCCCUUCCACAGACUUCAGCCUAUUUUCUGGGCAAACUUAGCAGAAAUGACCAAAAUCCACUCGAGAGAGACAGCAACAAGGAGAGGGGAAGAGAUCCUAUUUUGGCUUCUUCAAAUGGACCAAUUUUCUCUUUAAAAUAUUUAUUUUAAGGAAAAACAAGGACUACAUUAUAUUUUAAAGGGGGAGAAGGAAGAGGAUUUUGAGUUGCUAAGAGAACAGAGCCAUCUCUUUUCUUUUAAUACUGGAUGCUAAGAACUUGCACAGGGUUUUCCCAAAAGCCAGAUAGUUCAGGUAAUUUGCAUGUGGCUGUAAAAGAGAAAGUUCAGGCCAGGCACUGUGGCAACAUGGUGAAACCCCAUCUCUACUAAAAAUACAAAAAUUAGCUGGGUGUGGUGGUGCAAGCCUGUAAUCCCAGCUACUUGGGAGGCUGAGGCAGGGGAAUCACUUGAAUCUGGGAGGUGGACGUUGCAGUGAGCCAAGAUCACACCACUGCACUCCUGGGCGACAGAGACUCUCUCAAAAAAAAAAAAAAAAAAAAAAAAAGAGAGAGAGAAAGUUGAGAGCAUAAGUCUGAGUGAUUCUGCCUGAAAGAACAGAACAGCUUACACUGGACAGGCUUUUGCCCAAGACACACCUCAUCUGGCAUUGAGAAACGAACACCAACAAUAAUGAGUGACAGAAUGUUAAGAACAAUAAUUAUACAGACUUGGACCUCCCAGACUGCUUGUCUGUAGUAAUUCAGAAGGAAGCAAAGUAUUCUGAAGUGUUUAUGAAGAUUGGUUCCACAUCUGAAGAAUUUUAGUAAUCUUACCCAAACUCAACCCAAGAAAUAUGAGGAAAAGAGGGAGUAGUUCUAUAAUAAGCAGGUGGAAUAGAGGGUCAAACUCCUUGGCGAGUUCAGUCUAACAGAGGACACAUUACUGCCCUACAAAGCAGCUCUGGAAAAUGACAACCAGUGGCACUAACUCCAGGCAAUAUCUUUGUGAGGCUUGUGGGCUGUAAUAUAGUCUGCUCAGGCUGCCAUAAAAAAAAAAUCACAAUCAGGCCAGGCACUAUGGCUCACACCUGUAAUCCCAGCACUUUGGGAGGCCAAGGAGGGCAGAUCACCUGAGGUUAGGAGUUCGAGACCAGGCUGGCCAACAUGGCAAAACCCCGUCUCUACUAAAAAUACAAAAAUUACCCGGAUGUGGUAGCACGCACCGGUAGUCCCAGCUACUCGUCAGGCUGAGGCAGGAGAAUUGCUUGAACCUGGGAGGGGUGGAGGUUGCAGUGGGCUGAGAUCACACCACUGUACUCCAGCCUGGACAACAGAGCCACUGCACUCCAGCCUGGGCAACAGAGAGAGACUCCAUCUUAAAAAAAAAAAAAAAAAAUCCCCGUCUUCAAAUACAAUCACAUUCUGAAGUACUAGAGAUCAGGACUCCAACAUGCGAACUUUGGGGGGACAUAAUUCAGCCCGUAAUAUGGGUGAUAAAGGAGCAGGUCCAGACUUAGAGAAACAAGGACUCCCUGGGUCAAGCUCUGGAAGUGAAAGGCUUCUUCAAAGACAGGAAAGUCCCACUGAAGGUGGCUUUGGAAGUGCACCCUUGCAGCACAGCAACCUUCUUGAUUUGCUCAAGAGCAGGGGUUCUGACAGGUCUCAAAGCACUUUGUUUAAUGAAACAGAAUCGAAAAUACCAGUGUGUCACAUGUUUCCUAAGACAGGACACUGUUUCUUGAAACUUUUACUAAAGUAUGUUUUUCUUUUAUUUUUUUAUUUUUUAUUUUUUUUGAGAAGGAGUCUUGCUCUGUCGCCCAGGCUGGAGUGCAGUGGCACAAUCUCGACUCACUGCAACCUCUGCCUCCCGGGUUCAAACAAUUCUCCUGCCUCAGCCUCCUGAGUAGCUGGGAUUACAGGUGCACGCCAUCAUGCCUGGCUAAUUUUUGUAUUUUUAGUAGAGACAGGGUUUCACCAUGUUGACCAGUCUGCUCUCAAACUCCUGACCUUGUGAUCUGCCCACCUUGGCCUCCCAAAGUGCUGGGAUUACAGGUGUGAGCCACCGUGUCCAGCCUAAAGUAUGUUAAAUAUGUUAUGUGUGAGAGAGAGAAAGAGAAUAUAUCUCUUGGUCAUUACAUAUGUAAAACUUGUAGAACGUGAUCAAAAUGUUUAAAAACUGGCCAGGCACAGUGGCUCAAGCCUGUAUCCCAGCACUUUGGGAUCCCAAGGCAGGUGGAUCACAAGGUCAGGAAUCAAGACCAUCCUGGUCAACACAGUGAAACCCCAUCUCUACUAAAAAUACAAAAAAUUAGCCUGGCGCGGUGGCACGCACCUGUAGUCCCAGCUACUUGGGAGGCUGGGGCAGGAGAAUCGCUUGAACCUGGGAGGCGGAGGCUGCAGUGAGCUGAGAUAGCGCCACUGCACUCCUGCCUGGGCAACAGAGCAAGACUCCAACUCAAAAAAAAAAAAAAAAGUUUAAAAACUGGUCCUGUGGCAGUGGGUCUCAAACAUCAGCAUGCAUCAGAAUCACUUGGAGGACUGAUUAAAACACAGGCUGCUGCUGAUGCUGCUAAUCCUAGAGCCACCUUGAAGUUUUUCUGUGGUUUUUUUUUUUUUUUUUUUUUUUUUUUUGAGACAGGGUCUUGCUGUCUCCCAGGCUGGAGUGCAGUGGUGCAAUGAUACCUCACUGCAGCCUUGAACUCCUGGGCUCAAGCAAUGCCCCCAUCUCAGCCUCCCAAGCAACUAGGACUGUAGCUAGCUCCUAACUCAUUCCCUCCAUUCCUGCCCUCCCCUAACUUUAUAUUGCAGCCAGAAGGAUAUUUUUUCUGAAGAGCAUCUCAUGCUGAGUGGCAGCAGAAUGCAGAGAUUAAGAGAGGGGGCCAGGCACAGUGGCUCACACCUCUAAUCCCAGCACUUUGGGAGGCCGAGGUGGGUGGAUCACCCGAGGUCAGGAGUUCAAGACCAGCCUAGCCAACAUGGAGAAACCCCGUCUCUAUGGGCGUGGUGGUGCAUACCUGUAAUCCCAGCUACUAGGGAGGCUGAGGCAGGAGAAUCACUUGAACCCAGGAGGCAGAGGUUGCCGUGAGCCGAGAUCUCGUCAUUGCACUCCAGCCUGGGCAACAAGAGCGAAACUCCGUCUCAAAAAAAAAAAAAGAGUGGCGCCAGGUGCAGUGGCUCACGCCUGUAAUCCCAGCACUUUGGGAGGCCGAGGCAGGCAAAUCAUCUGAGGUCGGGAGUUCGAGACCAGCCUGACCAACAUAGAGAAACCCCGUCUCUACUAAAAAUACAAAAAAAUUAGCCGAGCGUGGUGGCAUGUGUCGUAUGCCUGUAAUCCCAGCUACUGGGGAGGCUGAGGCAGGAGAAUUACUUGAACCUGGGAGGCAGGUUUUUUGUUUUUUGUUUUGGUUUUGUUUGAGAUUUUGGUUGUUGUUUUUUGGGGUUUUUUUGAGACAGGGUCUCACUGUGUUGUCCAGGCUGGAGUGCAGGGGUGCGAUCAUGUGUCACUGCAGCCACAACCUCCUGGGCUCAGGUGAUCCUCCCACCUCAGCCUUCCUGAGUAACUGUUACUACAGGUGUGCACCACCAUGACUGGCUAAUUUUUGUAUUUUUUGUAGAGACAAGAGUUUCACCAUGUUGCACAGGCUGUUCACAAACUCCUAGGCUCAAGCUAUCCACCUGCCUCAGCCUCCCAAAGUGCUGGGAUUAUAGGCAUGAGCCACCUUGCCCAGCCAACUGAGCCACUUUGUGCCAGGACUAGGUCAGGUACUUGGGACAUAUACAGGCAAGGACACUGCCCACAGGGAACUGACAGUGUCUAGCAGCUACACAGAUGACACGGCCUUUUCGGCAGACACCCCUGUCCCCUGUGCUUGGCAAACAGCAGAGACUCAAAAAUGUAUAUGGUUUGACUCCCACUGGAACAUAAGCCCCUUAGGGCAGGGACCAGGGUCACUGUAUUCCCAGCACCUAUAAUCAAGAGGUACAUGACGCUGCAGCUGAGAGCAGGGACUCUGUGCUAAGUUACCUACCUGGUUUGAACCUAGGCUCUGCCACUCAAAGGCUGUGUGACCGUGGGAAAUAAUAGUACCCACCCCAAAGGUUUGUUAUUAGUAUUUAAUAAUAUUUAUUGGUAAGGUACUUAGAAUAGCCCCCCUGCCUACAGGAAGCAGUACAUAAUUAUAAUGUCUAAAUAUACAGUAGUUCCAGGCCAGGCAUGGUGGCUCAUGUCUGUAUUCCUAGCAGAAUGAGAGGCCGAGGAAGGAGAAUCAUUUGAGUCCAGGAGUUUGAGACCAGCCUGGAUAACAUAGUGAGAUCUCGUCUCUACAAAAAAUAAACAAAAGUAAGCCAGACAUGGUGGCACAUGCCUGCAAUCCCAGCUACUCAAAAGGCUGUGAUUAGAGAAUCACUUGAGCCCAGGAGGUAGAGGCUGCAAUGAGCUGAGAUCACACCACUGUACUCCAGCCUGGGCAACAGAGUGAGACUCCGUCUCUUAAAUAAAUAAAUAAAUAGGGGCCAGGCGUGGUAGCUUACACCUGUAAUCCCAGCACAUUGGGAGGCUGAGGCGGGAGGAUCACUUGAGGACAGGAGUUCAAGACCAACCUGACCAACAUGGUGAAACCCCAUCUCUACUAAAACACAACAAUCAGCUGGGCAUGGUGGCGGGUGCCUGUAAUCCCAGCUAUUUUGGGGGCUGAGGCAGGAGAAUCACUUGAACCCAGGAGGCAGAGGUUGCAGUGAGCCAAGAUCACACUACUACACUCCAGCCUGGGCAACAGAGCGGGACUCCAUCUCAAAUAAAUAAAUAAAUAGCAGUUCCAUAUCCUCUGAAUAAUGGACUAGAAGUUGGUUAAUGGAUGGGUUUUCAGGGAGAAUUUUAGCAGCCGAGCUGAGAGGUAGGUACUCUAGCCAGGGUAUAUAACAUGAGCUAAGGGAACAGGACAGCAAAUAUAAGGUGUGAUCAGGGGAAAGGCAUCAUAUAUUGACUGUCCAGGAACAAUGGAUAUCUGAGAAUGUAGGAAAGCUAAGUUAGGACCAGGAAAAGGAGAGUAUUAAAUGCCAAAGAAGAUGCCACCAAAGGUUCUGGAACAGAAAGCAGCAGAGCUAUGCCUUGUAAAGAUAAAGCCUGCAGUGUAUUGACUGGGUUGGAAUCUGGAAUCAUUGCGUGCCUCCAGUCAAGACGUGGCAACUGACCAACUACCUUUUAUCACUGACCAGACUCUUCCCUACGUGCAGAUAACUGAGGACGCAAGCCUUAGUUACUGGGUGUGGUGGUGCUAUUAACGGAAAAAGGGAAGUCAGCCAGCAAAGGCUGACUGGGGCAAUUUCAGCCUUGUUGCUCUGCUGUGAAACUGCUUUCCAGAAAAACUUUUUUUUUUUUUUGAGACGGAGUCUCACUCUGUCACCCAGGCUGGAGUGCAGUGGCACAAUUUCGGCUCACUGCAACCUCCGCCUCCCAGGUUCAAGCGAUUCUCCUGUCUCAGCCUCCCCAGAAGCUGGGAUUACAGGCGCCCACCACCACACUCAGCUAAUUUUUGUAUUUUUAGUAAAGUCAGGGUUCCACUAUGUUGGCCAGGCUGAUCUCCAACUCCUGACCUCAGGUGAUCCGCCUGCCUCGGCCUCCCAAAGUGCUGAGAUUACAGGCAUGAGCCACAGUGCCCAGCCCAGGAAAACUUCUUAAAGAUGUAAUAAUAACGCACCUUAUUAUUUUCCAAGUACUUCCAUAGAUAGUGGCCCACUUCUGAGUAUGAAUUAAAUUUCCCUUUGUGGCCUUUGUUUUUUUAAUAGAUCUUCAUUUCUGGGGGGACUUACAAACAGGUGACUUCUCCAUUCACCAGAGAUGGGACAUUAUACACUGACCUACUUCCAUAUUCACUUUCCCUGCUUGAUUGGAGGUGAGGGAGAAAAAUUAGUGUAUAAGGCCGGGCGCGGAGGCUCACGCCUGUAAUCCCAGGACUUUAGAAGGCUGAGGCAGGUGGAUCACCUGAGGUCAGGAGUUCGAGACCAGCCUGGCCAACAUGGUGAAACCCCUUGUCUACUAAAAAUACAAAAAUUAGCCAGGUGUGGUGGCACACGCCUGUAAUCCCAGUUACUCAGGAGGCUGAGGCAGGAGAAUUGCUUGAACCCCGAGGCAGAGGUUGCAGUGAGCUGAGUCCAUGCCAUUGCACUCUAGCCUGGGCAACAAGAGUGAAACUCUGUCUCAAAAAAAAAAAAAAAAGAAAAGAAAAGAAAAAUAAGUGUAUAGAACUUUAUUGUUUCAUUGACCGGGCACGAUGGCUCACGCCUGUAACUCUAGCACUUUGGGAGGCCAAGGUGGGCAGAUUGGCUGAGCUCAGCAGUUUGAAACCAGCCUGGGCAACAUGGUGAAACCUAUCUCUAAUAAAAUACAAAAAAUUAGCCCGGUAUGGUAGCACAUGCCUAUAGUUUCAGCUACCUGGGAGGCUGAGGCAUGAGAAUCACUUGAACCCAGAAGGUUGCAGUGAGCCAAGAUUGUGCCACUGCACUCCAGCCUGGGCAACAGAGCAAAACUCUGUCUCCAAAAAAAGAGAACUGGCCAGGGAUGGUGGCUCACGCCUCUAAUCCCAGCACUUUGGGAGGCUAAGGUGGGCAGAUCACGAGGUCAGGAGUUCAAGACCAGCCUGGCCAACAUGGUGAAACCCCGUCUCUACUAAAAAUACAAAAAUUAGCUGGGCAUGGUGGCAGGCACCUGUAAUCCCAGCUACUCAGGAGGCUGAGACAGCAGAAUCGUUUGAAUCUGGGAGGUAGAAGUUGCAGUGAGCCAAGAUCACGCCAUUGCACUCCAGCCUGGGUGGAAGGGCAUGACUUCGUCUCAAAAAAAAAAAAACUUUUUCCUUAAAAUACACCUCUUGGAGCCAGUCCCAGAUACUUGGGAGGAUCAGGAAGGAGGACCUCUUGAGGCCAUAAAUUUGAGGAUGUAGUGUGCCUGUGAAUAGCCACUACACUCUAGCCUGGGCAACACAGAAAGACCUCAUAAAUAAAUAAAUAGGCCAGAUGAGGUGGCUCACACCUGUAAUCUCAGCACUUUGGGAGGCCAAGGCUGGCAGAUCACGAAGUUAGGAGAUCAAGACCAUCCUGGCUAACACAGUGAAACCCCG
rnacentral:lncRNA from 1 species